GGCUUCUUUCCCUUUCUAAUGCUGCAUGUAUCAGCCUGCUGAAGCUAGUAAGGAAGAGAGAGGGCAGGGAGAUCGAGAGAGGACGGAGGACUAGAGUAGACGAUGGCCAUCCCCGGACGGCAGAGUGCGGCGUCGGCGGAGUCGAGGGCGACGGUUGGCAGGGAUGCGUUACUAGCGCCGCCGCCGCCGCCCAAGGUGUCGCGGCGGGUGCUGCUCCGGGUGGCGUCGGUCGCGUGCGGCGUGCAGUUUGGAUGGGCGCUCCAGCUUUCGCUACUCACCCCCUACGUGCAGGAGCUUGGGAUUCCCCACCAGUUCGCAAGCCUCGUGUGGCUCUGCGGGCCCCUCUCGGGCCUCCUUGUCCAGCCCUUCGUCGGCCACAUGAGCGAUCGGUGCGCUAGUUCGCUAGGCCGCCGCCGGCCCUUUAUAAUCGGCGGAGCCUUGUCCAUUGCUUUCUCCGUUCUCUUGAUCGGCUAUUCCGCAGACAUCGGCCGCAUCCUCGGCGAUCGCGGAGGCGGGGAGACACGGUACGGGGCGAUCUCUGUCUAUCUAGUAGGGUUUUGGCUUCUCGACGUGGGGAACAACACUACCCAGGGCCCCUGCAGAGCCCUCCUCGCAGAUCUCACAGGGAAAGAUCACAGACGGACACGUGUAGCUAAUGCUUACUUUUCACUCUUCAUGGCACUGGGAAAUAUACUUGGCUUUGCUACUGGUUCCUUUAGCCAUUGGUAUAGCAUAUUUCCCUUCAAUGUCACUUCAGCAUGCAGCAUAAAUUGUGCCAACCUCAAAUCUGCCUUUCUUCUUGACGUUGUUCUUCUUUUGAUGACCACAUGUAUUAGUGUGUCAUCAGCGAAGGAAAUUCCUCUAUCUUCUGCUAACAAAGUUAUGACUUCUGUCGAAGAUUCAACCGCACAGUCAGAUAAUGGACAUGAGGCUUUUCUAUGGGAAUUAUUUGGUUCUUGUAGGUAUCUUACGCUCCCGGUUUGGAUGGUUCUCAUUGCGACUGCACUUACUUGGUUAGGUUGGUUUCCCUUCACCCUUUUUGAUACUGAUUGGAUGGGCCGGGAAAUUUACAAAGGAGACCCAGACGAAGGGCAAAUGUAUCAAACUGGAGUGAGAAUGGGGGCUAUUGGUCUCAUGUUAAAUUCUAUUGUUCUAGGUUUUACUUCAGUGGUUUUGGAAAAACUCUGCAGGAAGUUUGGUGCUGGCUUGAUUUGGGGAAUUUCCAACAUUAUCAUGUUCUUUUGUUUUCUCGCAAUGCUUAUAAUAUCUUCUCUGGCAAAGAAUAUUGAUUACCCACCAAAUGGUCUUCCUCCAAGUGGUCUUGUUAUUGCUGCACUUGUUAUUUUUACAAUUCUUGGGGCACCUUUGUCUGUUACCUACACUAUCCCUUAUGCAAUGAUUUCUGCACGUAUAGAACCUUUGGGGCUUGGCCAGGGGUUGUCAAUGGGCAUUUUGAAUCUGGCAAUUGUUGUACCUCAGAUGGUUGUUUCUGUGGGAAGUGGGCCUUUGGAUCAGUUAUUUGGGGGUAGCAAUUCACCAGCUUUUGCUGUAGGAGCAAUUGCAGCUUUUGCUAGCGGUCUUGUGGCAAUUGUUGGUCUGCCUCCUCAAUCCAUCACUAUUCGUGCCACUACUGCUGUCCGAAGGGGUCAAAGAUAAGUAUUUCUAUUUUUUAAACAGUUCCAUCUAGAUUGCCAAAGGAUAGCUGCUACGAUCAGAAUUUAGGUGCAUAUAUUUUCUAACUUUCAAGGAAUGUGUUCUUCUCUAGAUUUCUAUUUAAAGUUGUCUGCUGUAGUUAACUUGGGGUGAAAGAAUAGACAACCAAAAAGUAGGUUGAUUGAUUGUGGUAGAGAAAGACCAAAGAAAUUUACUUUCUUAAAAGAGAUUUAAGUGAUGUAAGUAUUAGCAAUUACAUAGGACUAGUUCAUGUAAAGAGGCAAUGUCAAUCCUGAGGGAUUAGUUCAUGUCAAAUAUAUAUAUUCAGCGAGCUACAUUCUCAAUCCCAUGGGACUUCUUUUAUACAUGCAUGGACAUUCUUGUUCUCUUACUAUCCGCGGAAAAGCCAAUGUUAGUAAUGAGCCCAUGUGAUUGAAACAGAGAGUAAAGGUUAGAUAUCAAGACAAUUAGGUCACAUCACAACAAGCAAUGCAUUUGGUCCUACUUUGAGUCUAAGACGAACUGAUUCUGUCCAAAAUUAUGACGGAAAGCUUACAUUUUUUUCGUUUCGUCCUGAGACUUUUAGCGAUUGAAGGCAUCUGAAAAUAUAUGGUUAUAUCAAGUAUUCUCAAUUUUACCUUAAGUUGAUAUUCAGUACACGCAACCAUACAUCCGUAAAUCUACUGUAAAACCAAGUAGCCAUCUGCUGGAUUUGCAUGCAUGAUCAAGUAUGCUUUCUUCGAGUAAAUAUCUUUUAAUCCCGACAAGGAUUUUGAACACAUAAUUGGCGUUUCUAUCAAUUAUUAUUCUUCCUUCAAUUGGCUCAUUUACAUUGAGAUGGCAAGGAACGUCGUGGAAGCCCUAUCGUAUCUGGAGAUUGUCAUUUGUCAUUCAGGACUAGUUAAGUUAUUAUGGGUGAUUGGAUCAAUUUUAGUCAGACGCGAUGGCCUCCAGCCCGAGAUGAUAGCGGCCAUUAUUGAUUGCACAACAUAAAAGAGUGACAAAAAGAGAGAGAUAUGUGAAAAAUAUAUAUAUACAUAUUUGUAUUCUCAUCUUGCUCGCAAACCUCAUUACAUUCUCCAUGGUAUUGCCUACAUUGUAAUCUCACACACAAUAAGAAAGUGGAAUUUACUUGUAAGUUAACUCGCAAAUUGCUUACAUUCAAUAA